CAGCCGCCGCGUUAAUACCGGCGGCCCGAGUGGCGGUCACUAUUAUUGGGCUUAAAGCGUCCGUAGCCGGGUUGGGAAGUCCUCCGGGGAAUCUGGCCGCUUAACGGUCAGAAUGCCGGAGGAUACUCCCAGCCUAGGGAGCGGGAGAGGCCGAGGGUAUUCCCGGAGUAGGGGUGAAAUCCUAUAAUCCCGGGAGGACCACCUGUGGCGAAGGCGCUCGGCUGGAACGCGUCCGACGGUGAGGGACGAAGGCCAGGGGAGCAAACCGGAUUAGAUACCCGGGUAGUCCUGGCUGUAAACGAUGCGGACUUUGUGUCGGACAAGCUAUGAGCUUGUCCGGUGCCGGAGGGAAACCGUUAAGUCCGCCGCCUGGGGAGUACGGCCGCAAGGCUGAAACUUAAAGGAAUUGGCGGG
rnacentral:rRNA from 1 species